AGAGUUUGAUCAUGGCUCAGGACGAACGCUGGCGGCGUGCUUAACACAUGCAAGUCGAAUGGAAAGGCCCUUCGGGGUACUCGAGUGGCGAACGGGUGAGUAACACGUGGGUGAUCUGCCCUGCACUUUGGGAUAAGCCUGGGAAACUGGGUCUAAUACCGAAUAGGACCACGCGCUUCAUGGUGUGUGGUGGAAAGCUUUUGCGGUGUGGGAUGGGCCCGCGGCCUAUCAGCUUGUUGGUGGGGUAAUGGCCUACCAAGGCGACGACGGGUAGCCGGCCUGAGAGGGUGACCGGCCACACUGGGACUGAGAUACGGCCCAGACUCCUACGGGAGGCAGCAGUGGGGAAUAUUGCACAAUGGGCGCAAGCCUGAUGCAGCGACGCCGCGUGAGGGAUGACGGCCUUCGGGUUGUAAACCUCUUUCAAUAGGGACGAAGCGCAAGUGACGGUACCUAUAGAAGAAGCACCGGCCAACUACGUGCCAGCAGCCGCGGUAAUACGUAGGGUGCGAGCGUUGUCCGGAAUUACUGGGCGUAAAGAGCUCGUAGGUGGUUUGUCGCGUUGUUCGUGAAAACUCACAGCUUAACUGUGGGCGUGCGGGCGAUACGGGCAGACUAGAGUACUGCAGGGGAGACUGGAAUUCCUGGUGUAGCGGUGGAAUGCGCAGAUAUCAGGAGGAACACCGGUGGCGAAGGCGGGUCUCUGGGCAGUAACUGACGCUGAGGAGCGAGAGCGUGGGGAGCGAACAGGAUUAGAUACCCCGGUAGUCC
rnacentral:rRNA from 1 species